rnacentral:rRNA from 1 species
AGAACGAACGCUGGCGGCAUGCCUAACACAUGCAAGUCGAACGAAGCCUUCGGGCUUAGUGGCGCACGGGUGCGUAACGCGUGGGAAUCUGCCCCUCGGUUCGGAAUAACAGUUAGAAAUGACUGCUAAUACCGGAUGAUGACGAAAGUCCAAAGAUUUAUCGCCGAGGGAUGACGCCCGCGUAGGAUUAGCUAGGUUGGUAGAGGUAAAGGCUACACCAAGGCGACGAUUCCUUAGCUGGUCUGAGAGGAUGAUCACGCCACACUGGACUGAGACACCGCCCAGACCUCCGUACGGGAGGCAGCGAGGUGGGGUAAUAUUGGACAAGUGGGACGAAA